rnacentral:lncRNA from 1 species
GCCAUGGAAAGAUGCUCACGAUACACAGUCAAGUGGAAAAUACAGGUCACGAAAUUAUUUAUCUAGUGAGCCAAGAGUUUUUAAGCUCUGUCUGUAAUAUAACAGAUCCAGAAAGCCAUACACCUGGGGUUACAGAAGGUGUCUCUGGGUGAUGAGAAUAAGAUUUUUUUUUCCCUUUCAAGCUGUUUUUUCUCCAAGUACUAUGCAGUGCUUUUGUAAUGAAACAAUUUGCACUUUCUAAAAGAAUGUCAUGUAAAAUUGAGGGGGACACUCCAUUUUCCGCGAUGACACUCUGAUGUACAGGGAAUGGAAACCGGGAGCAAACUGCAGAAUGGGGCAGAGAUGCCUAGGGGCCCCACUCUUUCUGCCCUGUUCCUGCAAUAAUAUCCCCUCUGUUCAUUCUCUGUUCAUUGUGCAUAAAAGUGCACAAUUCUGCUAACCAGAGGCACUCUGUUUUUUUGAGGAAACUUGGCAGCUUCAAGGAGAAGGUGCUUCUUGAAGAGCAGCAAACGUUCUUGGAGAAAUUUUUCAUUUCCCUAAAUAUUUUAUCUGGGAGAGACUUCAGAGACUCCACAUCACUGAGCAGUAGGCAUGAAAGCAUCCCUCAGAAGUUUACUCCGCCAGCCUCUUUGGUGGGGUAAACCUGCUAAUCCACGCAAGCUGAGGGACCCACGGAGGAUAAAUAAAUUUCGUGACGUGAGCGGGUUGAGGAAGCCACAGUGAAA